rnacentral:rRNA from 1 species
UACGGAGGGUGCGAGCGUUGUUCGGAAUCACUGGGCGUAAAGGGCGUGUAGGCGGUCCGCUGAGUCUGAUGUGAAAGCCCGGGGCUCACCCCCGGAAGGGCAUUGGAAACUGGCGGACUCGAGUCCCGGAGAGGAAGGUGGAAUUCCUGGUGUAGCGGUGAAAUGCGUAGAUAUCAGGAGGAAUACCGGUGGCGAAGGCGGCCUUCUGGACGGUGACUGACGCUGAGACGCGAAAGCGUGGGGAGCAAACAGG